UGCUUCUCUGAUGUUAGCGGCGGACGGGUGAGUAACACGUGGAUAACCUACCUAUAAGACUGGGAUAACUUCGGGAAACCGGAGCUAAUACCGGAUAAUAUUUUGAACCGCAUGGUUCAAAAGUGAAAGACGGUCUUGCUGUCACUUAUAGAUGGAUCCGCGCUGCAUUAGCUAGUUGGUAAGGUAACGGCUUACCAAGGCAACGAUGCAUAGCCGACCUGAGAGGGUGAUCGGCCACACUGGAACUGAGACACGGUCCAGACUCCUACGGGAGGCAGCAGUAGGGAAUCUUCCGCAAUGGGCGAAAGCCUGACGGAGCAACGCCGCGUGAGUGAUGAAGGUCUUCGGAUCGUAAAACUCUGUUAUUAGGGAAGAACAUAUGUGUAAGUAACUGUGCACAUCUUGACGGUACCUAAUCAGAAAGCCACGGCUAACUACGUGCCAGCAGCCGCGGUAAUACGUAGGUGGCAAGCGUUAUCCGGAAUUAUUGGGCGUAAAGCGCGCGUAGGCGGUUUUUUAAGUCUGAUGUGAAAGCCCACGGCUCAACCGUGGAGGGUCAUUGGAAACUGGAAAACUUGAGUGCAGAAGAGGAAAGUGGAAUUCCAUGUGUAGCGGUGAAAUGCGCAGAGAUAUGGAGGAACACCAGUGGCGAAGGCGACUUUCUGGUCUGUAACUGACGCUGAUGUGCGAAAGCGUGGGGAUCAAACAGGAUUAGAUACCCUGGUAGUCCACGCCGUAAACGAUGAGUGCUAAGUGUUAGGGGGUUUCCGCCCCUUAGUGCUGCAGCUAACGCAUUAAGCACUCCGCCUGGGGAGUACGACCGCAAGGUUGAAACUCAAAGGAAUUGACGGGGACCCGCACAAGCGGUGGAGCAUGUGGUUUAAUUCGAAGCAACGCGAAGAACCUUACCAAAUCUUGACAUCCUUUGACAACUCUAGAGAUAGAGCUUUCCCCUUCGGGGGACAAAGUGACAGGUGGUGCAUGGUUGUCGUCAGCUCGUGUCGUGAGAUGUUGGGUUAAGUCCCGCAACGAGCGCAACCCUUAAGCUUAGUUGCCAUCAUUAAGUUGGGCACUCUAAGUUGACUGCCGGUGACAAACCGGAGGA
rnacentral:rRNA from 1 species